rnacentral:rRNA from 1 species
UACGUAGGGUGCGAGCGUUGUCCGGAAUUAUUGGGCGUAAAGAGCUUGUAGGCGGUUUGUCGCGUCUGCUGUGAAAAUCCGGGGCUCAACCCCGGACUUGCAGUGGGUACGGGCAGACUAGAGUGUGGUAGGGGAGACUGGAAUUCCUGGUGUAGCGGUGAAAUGCGCAGAUAUCAGGAGGAACACCGAUGGUGAAGGCAGGUCUCUGGGCCACUACUGACGCUGAGAAGCGAAAGCGUGGGGAGCGAACAGG